UCGAAACUCAGGGGGGAGUAUCACAAGCUCUCCCGGCACUUCUGUCGCUUCGGCCAGAAGUCGUCGAAAUUCAGGGGGGAGUAUCACAAGCUCUCCCGGCACUUCUGUCGCUUCGGCCAGAAGUCGCCGAAAAUUUUGAGCAUGGUGAAAUCUGUCGCUUUGGCCAGAUUCACCAAGGAUUUAUUGAGCAAAGGAGGAGCUUCACGAGAAGUAAAUCGCAGGUAAGUUCAAUAAUUAAUAUAUGCGUUUAUGGACUAAUCUAGUUGUUUUGCAGAGUGUUUUCCUUUUUUGCAGGUUAGAUUCCGUCGUCCGGGUUAGGAUCGGAAUCUAAUAGUGAAUUCGUAGCCCCGACAGGAGUCAGAUUCUAUUAGUGAAUCAACAGGUUCUGCAUCCAGGCGAGGAUCGGAUCCUGAUAGUGGAUCUGUAGCUCUGGUCAGAAUCAGACUCUGAUAGUGAGUCGGUCUGCUUUGUCGCUUUGGCCUUAGUAGACCAGAGGUCAUUUUGACGCUUCGGCCUUAAUGAUAUCAAGGGGGAGAAUCCCAAGUUCUUCCUGACACUUCUGUCGCUUCGGCCAGAAGUCGUCAAAUUCGGGGGGGAGUAUCACAAGCUCUUCCUGACACUUCUGUCGCUUCGGCCAGAAGUCGUCAAACUCGGGGGGGAGUAUCACAAACUCUUCCCGACACUUCUGUCGCUUUGGCCAGAAGAUGUCAAACCUUGAGCACGAUAGAUCUGUCGCUUCGGCCAGAUCAAUCGAGGAUUUAUUGAGCAUGGGAAGGAGCGGCACGAGGAACAGCUCCCCACGGCAAGGUCAGU
rnacentral:lncRNA from 1 species